rnacentral:sRNA from 1 species
UUAGCCCUAUCGCAACAGGGCAAGUGCAGGAGGCCGGUCAUGUUUAUCGAUAAUGUGGUAUUUGCCGGAGUGCUGACUGUGAGCCUCAUGGUGAUGUUUUUUGUAGGGUUUGGAAUUUUUAUCUGGAAAGACGCGAACAAGCGUAAAAAACCAUAGGUUUUUCCGGGUUACAUGAGCACGCAAGGCAUUUUGGGCGACUUCGGUCGCCCUUUUUUUGC